AUGGAUAUCAUCAUCACUAAACGAGGCCUCCUCAGAUUGUCCGUCUUUGUGCUUUGGACUGCAGGUCGAACUGCUGCCGAUGGUGUCACCCAGACCUCCAUACUGUGGAAAGACGAGGGUGACACUGCAACAAUAGACUGCAGCCACACCAAGGGUGCUGACUAUUACCAGAUGUACUGGUACAGACAGCUACCAGGAGAAGCAGUGAAACUAAUAGUGUUCACUGUUGCAAACACCAAACCUGACUUUGAAGCAGACUUCAAAGAUGAGAAAUUCUCAGCCACCAAGCCUGACGCUCACAGUGGGACGUUCACAGUGAAGAAUCUGGUGCCAGAAGAUAAAGGCUUGUAUUUCUGUGCAGUGGGUGCCUCUAACAGCAACAGUGUCCUCCAAACACCUCCUUUCAUCAUUAAGAGAACUGAUCAAUCUGUUGACAUCAGCACAGUGCUGCAGAUUCCCCUCAAGUCAAUACAAAAACUCUCCUUUAAGUGUCUGCCAGACAAACAAGAUGUUGAGUCUCCUGAACACCUGCAGCCAGCCUCCAGCUAA